CUUAUAAGAAACUGCUAAGUUACAAUUGUUUGCUAAUAUGCUAAUCCAGUAUAUCGAUUUUCUAUCUCAAUAAAAUAACUUAUACAGAUCCCUUUGCAUAGAAUUAAAAAAAAAAAAAAACCCACACAACUUCAUCUUAAAAUCAUAUAUGCAUGGCAGUAGUUAGUGACAUUAAAUAAAUCUCAUGUUUAAAGUUGUUCCGAAUGACUUGACAUGGCCGUAUAUGUAGUAAAUGAUAUUUAGAAAUUUCUUUUUUUAGUUGUUCCGUACGCCGUGGAAGGACGUACUUGUUAUUCCAGGUUUUGUAUACCGGGCUGUUAUUAUGCAAGGAGCAUGCACAGAAGAUUAUGUUGUCAUAAAAUUUCUUACUCGUGUUGGUGGUCAAGAAAAAAGAACAAUGGAUGACGAUGUUUGACUUGGUAUGUUAACUCCAAGGUUAAAAUAUAUUAUAUUGUUUUUUAGGCAUUGUGCUGAGUUGUUCCCUUAAAGUUUUUUGUAUACGUGCUAUUACGACUUUACUAGAACACACUUAUAAUGGUUGCUUUUAAAAAGGAUAAUCAGCAAUUUAAAACUUCUUAGUCGAAAAAAACCAAUUGUUUUGUUUUAAACAAGUCAAAUUUACUAGUUUAAUCAUAUAAUCUUCUUUAAUGUUGUACUGUUAUACCACUGUCCCAGGUUAGGAGAAGGGUUUGGAUCCCGUGAACAUGUUUAACCCCGCCACAUUCUGUAUGUAUGUGUCUGUCCAUAGUCAGGAGCCUGUAAUUCAGUGGUUGUCGUUUGUUUAUGUUUUACAUAUUUGUUUUUCGUUCUUUUUUUGUACAUUAAUAAGACCGUUAUUUUUCUCGUUUGAAUUGUUUAACAUUGUCAUUUAUAGCUGACUUUGCGGUAUGGGCUUUGCUCAUUGUUGAAGGCCGUACGGUGACAUAUAAAUGUUAAUUUUUGUGUCAUUUUGGUCUCUUCUUGAGAGUUGUCUCAUUGGCAAUCAUACCACAUCUUCUUUUUUUAUAUAAAAGAAUGAAAAUGCAGAACAAAGGUAAAUUAACAAACAUAACUACUAAAAGAAGUGUCGAUUCCAGAAAUUCUUCCUUGUAACUCGGUUGUAGCAUAGCAGUAUUUAUGUUAGGAACUUAUCACUACUAAUGACGUGAUCAUAUAUAUGUUCCAGACCAUACGAGUAUUUGGACCGUACGCGUACGGUCCGGACCGUAUACGUAUACUCGUACGGUCCGACCAUACGGUCAACGUCAGGACCGUAUGAGUAUACGCGUACGGUCCAGCUGAACAUACAUGUUUUGGGAUCAUAUAUAUGGGUUAAAUGUUAACGAACAUUUAUCAAAAUCUUUAUUUUUAGUUAUACAAAUUGUUAUUAUUACAAUAAGAUGGAUAAAGUGAAUAAGCGAACAAUUAAAAUCAAAUACUAAAUUUUGUUUAAUUUUAUAUCCGUGAAUCAUAUUUUGUUACUCUGGCCCAAGAUGACACUUGCUUCCACAAGGAACGUCAUAUAUUUUUAACAUUAACAUGUUUUGUUCAUGCAUGUUCCUUUGCAUAUGCAUUUUUUGUAAAGUUCCUAAAUAUUCUUAAACAAUUGUCCUCCCACAUUAUGUUUACUUCCGAUAACUUCAAUUUCAAUGAGCAUAAUGAAUUACUGACAUGCUAAGUACAGGAGAUUAACAGAUUAAAUAAGCCUGUUUUUUUACAAAUAGUUAAAAUACUAAGUUUUUAUUUCAAUAACUAUUCAACUUUUUAUGUUAAUUUGAGAUAUAAGUUAUGUUGAUCUGUUAUAUACAUUUGUAUCUAAUAAACUUGACCAAAUUCCUAAUAUUAGUCAGACCGUACGCGUACGGUCCAAAUACUCAUACGGUCUGGAACAUAUAUAUAGUGUGAAAAUACGAGCAUUAAGUGUUGAUAGAAAUAUUCACAACCCAAAUUAUGAGGCAAUGGUUAUUUAAUAGCUGAAAAUUGGAAAGUUGACAAUUGGAAAUUUUGAAUAAAAAAUUUUGAGUAACAUUCUUAUUGUCGUAGAUUUUAGUUUCUAGUCAUUUAUUUGUGUCAAUAUAUAAAAUAGAUAAAGAUAUAAAGGACACCUGCUUUUUUCGAUAAUAUCCUUUGUUUCAAAUUCAUUGGAUUAUGUGAGAUUCAUGCUUUCAUUGACAUGUGGUUUUUGAAAGACAGGACAUCAUUAUAUCUGUUAGUAAAGUUCAAGAACUUUGCAAGAUGCUAAUUUUUUGUUUUUAAGAAGGUUUUGCAUAUAUUGUGCUUUAUGAGUACCCAAGCGGGCCAGUAUAUGGGUAUACAAUAAAAUAUCAACCGUUUGCCUCCUGCACCAAUUCAGGAAUAUGGCAGUUGAUUUUAACUUGUUCCCUUGAGUGAUAGAAUUUGAUUUUGCCAAUUUUUAUGGAAAUACCAUGAAGUUUUGUAUUUUUGUUAUACAUUUUCAAAAUAUCAGUCCAUUGAAAACAACAUAUACUAGUAUGUUGUCGAUUUAGAAGUCUAGAUUUUUUAUGAUAACAUUCUCAUAGUUUAUUUGGAAUCAGUGCUGAUCACCGCAAAGUAACAUUUUUUUUCAUUAUCUGAAACAAUUGUAUUUACUGGUCCCUUUCGUUUACAUAAAAAAAAUCUUAAUGAGGAGAUUACAAUCGAUAUUUCAAUUGAUAGUUGGGAUGAAAUAUUAAUUGUAUAAAGCGAAGAAACAUUGAAAGUUUUAAAAUGACUGCGAAAUUGUAAAGAUUAUAUUUAAAGAUUUUGAAGUAGAUCUUCAUAAUCUAUAUGAAUCCAUCUGAAAGGCACCGCUAAAUGAAUGUAUCUCAUUGCAACAAUCUGAACUCCUAUUUUACUAUAGAAAAAAGUGAGUAAGAAUUUUGCAUAGAUUUUCAGUCGGACCUUUUACAUCUUCAAACAUCGUGAGUGCAGACUUCAAGAAUGAAAACCCACACCGUAAACUAAGCUGACUAUCAACCAGACCGAUAAAUCCGGAGAAGGCGAUAAAAUAUGCGUCAUUCACUUUUCCUAUCAUUUACAUAAAAAAUCUAUGACAAUAUGAACAAUUAAGUUAUAACAAUAUAUAAAAUUUCUUUUUGGUAUAUUUUCAGCUGAUGUAGAAGACAACUAGUUAAUAUAAUCAUCUAAGCAGUCAAAUGUUAGUCACUGUAACAAUAAAUCGUUUAUGAACA
rnacentral:lncRNA from 1 species